rnacentral:lncRNA from 1 species
GUCCUAACCCUAGUCUUAGCUCCAUCGUACAUGUCCUUGAUUACUCUGAUGUAGGCUUCCGGCACUCUCUUCGCCUCCAAGCACCUCCAUAGCACCUCCCUUGGGACCUUGGCAUACGCCUUCUCCAAGUCGAUAAGCACCAUGUGCAGGUCCUUCUUCUUAUCCCUGAACUGCUCCACCAGUCGCCUGACAGGGUGGAUAGCUUCUGUAGUGGAGCGA